ACGAAGGGUGCAAGCGUUAUCCGGAUUCAUUGGGUUUAAAGGGUGCGUAGGUGGGGCGAUAAGUCAGUGGUGAAAUCCUGCAGCUUAACUGUAGAAUUGCCAUUGAUACUGUCGCUCUUGAGUACGCUUGACGUGGGCGGAAUGUGCCGUGUAGCGGUGAAAUGCUUAGAUAUGGCACAGAACACCGAUAGUGAAGACAGCUCACGAAGGCGAAACUGACACUGAGGCACGAAAGCGUGGGGAUCGAACAGGAUUAGAUACCCUGGUAGUCCACGCCGUAAACGAUGAUCACUCGUGAUUGGCGAUAUACGGUCAGUCACCUAGCGAAAGCGUUAAGUGAUCCACCUGGGGAGUACGAUCGCAAGAUUG
rnacentral:rRNA from 1 species